CUUAUGUUCUACAUCCUCCAGGACACCCCAAUCAACUUCCCGAAACUUAUUUACAGAUACCUAUGUGAGCCACUAGAUAGGCCUAGGCUCACCCUUCCCUACGGCAUGCUAUACACACUUAUUUUUAGGGAGGCCGAGAUUCCUAUUCCUGAGGGGGAACCCUCUCGCGCAUUGCGAUGGACAGAUCGCAUGCGUGCGGGAACCCUACACAGGAUGGGGUUUCGUAAGUGUUGCCCAAGGUGACAAGCCAAGAGGGGGGGGUGAAUUGGUUUCUUCUAAAUUUUGGUGCUUUAAACGUUUUCUUAAUUAAGUGCGGUGGAUGCUUCCUUAAACUAUUUGAAUGAUUUAAACUAGUGCAAAGAUAGAAGAUGACGCAAGAAU
rnacentral:lncRNA from 1 species